GGUGUAGACUAGGUGGGAGAGCAAUCGAUUCUGAAAAACCACUACCCUGUUUGGAAUUAUGCUUACCUAUCACAAGGAAUAGGACUAGAUAGAAAGUUUGGCUGGGGCGGCACACCUUCGAAAGAGCAGCGAAGGUGUCCUAAGUUGAGCUCAGUGAGGACAGAAAUCUCACGUUGAGGAUAAGGCCAAAAGCUCAAUUUACUGUGCCUUUUUGUACUAGGAUCAGUUACGAAAGUAAGGCCUAACGAUCCCUAAAUAGCCUCAGGUGCGUGAGGAUUGGGGUGACAGACAAGUUACCUCCGGGACAACUGGCUUGUGGCUGCUAAGAGAUCAAAUCAACGCAGCUUUUUGAUUCUUCGAUGUCGGCUCUUCCUAUCCUAGUGAUGUACAAGUUGCUAAGGGUCGGAUUGUUCACCCGUAUUAGGGAUCGUGAGCUGGGUUUAGACCGUCGUGAGCCAGGUUUGUUUUAUCCUACUGGAUAUAGCAUCAUGAUAGUAGAUUGAUUUAGUACGAGAGGAACUGUUGAUUAUGGCCUCUGGUUAGCGAUUAUCGGAAACGGUAUGUCGCGCAGCUACGCCGUCUGGGAUAAUGGCUGAAAGCCUCUUAAGCCAGAAGCCCAUCUAGAAAGUGAUGCACGUGAUGUUGGACCGAUACGAAUAAUCAUACUCAAAAGGUCCGCUUCAUAGGUAACCCAAUGUAGAAGACAUUGUGUGAACGAAGGUACUGUAAGCAGUGGAGUGGCAUUACGUCCACGACCUGUUGAGGUUCAGCUUCGCUUCUAGGUUUCC
rfam:Trichomonas vaginalis G3, whole genome shotgun sequence.